GCCUGAUCCAGCAAUGCCGCGUGUGUGAUGAAGGCCUGCGGGUUGUAAAGCACUUUCAGUGGGGAAGAAAAGCCUAUUGUUAAUACCCUUGGGUGUUGACGUUACCUACACAAGAAGCACCGGCUAACUCCAUGCCAGCAGCCGCGGUAAUA
rnacentral:rRNA from 1 species